GUUAGCCCCUUGAUGAUUGGCGCCGAGACGUGUCGAGUCAGAGGCACGCCUCGGCAUAUUGGUGUCGAGUUGCCCCGCCCUAGGCAACUUGGCUGGUUCGAUGGUGGGCGUCGGAUGUAUUGUGCGUCGGGCACGCACACUGCCGAGUGGGCGCGCCGGGUGAUGCCGGGCGCCGCACAUCGGGUGUGCGGGGCGCCGAGCGCGAGUGUCGGGCGAGCAAGGCCGGGCGAGCAAGGCGUGUCGGGCGAGCGCGAGUGCCGGGCGAGCAAGGCGUGUCGGGCGAGCACGGGCGAUGGGUGAUGCCAGCCCGAGUACCCGAUGGAGCAAGCACGCGCGGGGCGACGGGAGUGCGCGCGCACGCGCGCCAAGUGAUGGGCGCGCGGGCCGUGCGCGCGAACUCCCGCCACGACACGUAGCUGGCGCCGAGCCACCCGGCAGACAUGCGGCCGACAGUUGGCGAUGCGCGCCAACAAAGCAAACACGGAGAUCCUUGUCCCUACGGUUAUGAGACGGUUUGUGGGAUGAAUGCUGGAGUUAGUGGGUAGUUUUGGCUGGGGAAAACUACCCACGACGUGGAUGCACGCGAUUGGCUGACCCGACGGUUAUCCUAGUGAUGGGGGAUUGUCCAUCACAUAGAUAGGCAAUUUUGGGAACGGAUCUGAGUUAGAGAUUCGUGUGUGUAGCCUUGAUUUCCUUUGUACGAAGUUGUGAGUAAUACGAAGGUUGGGAGUGAGUUAUCCCGUAUGAUUGUGUGUGCUUUAUACUUGUAUCCGCUGUGCGUUCUGUGAUUUUGUUGGCUUGCACGAGUACACGAAUACUCACCUAAACUAUACACGAGUGUUGGUGAGGGAGAGUGGCUGGUCGUUUGUGCGUGAACGGCGCCGCACAAGGCGAAAAAUUCAGGCUCGAAAGAAAACCUUGUGACAUUUGGUAUCAGAGCCAGGUUGGCUCUGGUCCUAUCGGAUUUGCUGCGUUGUUGUGGCCGAGAUGGUUCAAAAUCGAGAGUUCAUUGCUCUUGAGGAGCGGGUGAAUCGGUUGGAAAGCUUGUUGGGGACACCUCCUGAAACUUCCGCACGGGUUGAUGUCUUUGAGCAGAUGCGAGAAGCGGAGAUCGUGCUUGACACCUUGCAAGCAUUGGUUGUGGAUGUGCGGAAGUCUGUGGAGGAUUUACCCGGAUUUGUGGAAAGCCGAGUUGUGUCUUGCGAGGAAGACGUGAAUAAUCAGGUGGAGGAGUUGGCUAUGAAAGUGGAACGCCUCCUUGAUGAGAUGCACGUGAUGAAGCAAGCGAUGCGUUCUACAUCAAAGGUCCGGAUCCCUGACCCGAAACCGUUCGAGGGAACUCGAAGUUCCAAGGAGUUAGAGAACUUCCUGUGGGAUAUGGAGUCGUAUUUUCAAGCGGCUCAUGUUGCUGAUGAGGAGAAAGUUUCGAUCACCACUAUGUACUUGUCGGGUGAUGCAAAAUUGUGGUGGCGCUCCCGACAGUCCGGGGAGAACCAUGCCCGGAAUCGGAUUGAAACGUGGGAAGAUUUGAAAAGGGAAUUGAAAGAACAAUUCCUUCCUUGCAAUACGUCGUGGCUUGCAAGGGAUGCGUUGAGGAAACUCAAGCAUAGUGGAUCCGUUCGUGAGUAUGUCAAGGAGUUCAGUUCCUUGAUGUUGGAUAUACGUGAGAUGUCCGAGGAAGAUAAGCUAUUCAACUUCUUAGCGGGAUUGCAAACUUGGGCCCAAACUGAAUUGAGGAGGCAAGGGGUCAAAGAUUUGCCGUCCGCCAUUGCUGCUGCCGAUAGUCUCGUUGAUUACAAGACUAUGAGUUCCACUGAGUCCGGUCAGAAAAAGAAAGAGACGGGCAAAGGGAAGGAGAAGGAAAAGAAAGGCAAGGAUGGCUGGAAAAAGAAGAAAGCCAACAAUGGCAAUGCCGGUGGUUCGAAGGACUCGUCCCAACAGAAUGGUGGUGAGAAGAGGCGUGGAUGUUUCAUAUGCAAUGGCGACCACCGUAUGGGGAUUGUCCAAAGAAAGGCAAGUUGAAUGCGCUUGUGGCGGAAAGCGAUAAAGAGAGUGAUGUGUGCCCCUCGGAUGAACCCAUUCAAUUGCUAUCUGCAAUUCAAGGGGAUGUAAGUCCGACUACGGAUUAUGUAUGUAAAUGGUUGUGAAUGGUCAGAAGUGUUGGCCAUGGUGGAUUGCGGAGCCACCCAUAACUUUGUGUCCGAUCGGCUUGUGAGUAAGUUCGGUGUUAAGUUGGAGCCUUAUGCUAGCCGAAUCAAAGCUGUGAAUUCGGAGGCGAAGCCUGUUCUAGGUGUGGGAGAUGUUGAUCUUCGGAUUGAUGCUUGGAAGGGAUCGUGCUCGUUGAUGGCGGUUCCUUUAGAUGACUUCGAGAUUAUACUUGGGAUGGAAUUCUUGAAGAUGGCGAAAGUUGUGUGAUCCCCAUGUGGGUGGGAUAUGAUCUUGAUGAACGCUGCCCAACGUUCUUAAGGGGAGUUUUGCCGAAGGAAUCCUCGGGUUGAUUUCAGCCCUUCAAUUGAAGAAAGGCUUGAAGCAGGGUGUGCCUACUUAUCUUGCUGCGAUGGUUGAAAUCAACCGGCGUGUCCCAAGAAGUCCCUGAUGCUGUGCAGAAUUGUUGAUGAGUUCAAAGAUGUGAUGCCUGCGGAAUUGCCAAGAUUGCCGCCGAGGCGGCAACGGAUCAUCGGAUUGAGUUGGAGCCGGGUGCGAGACCUCUGCCAGCCCCCUACCGCAUGCCGCCUUCCGAGUUGCGGAGCUAAGGAAGCAGCUUGAGAGUUGUUGCUUGCAGGUCUGUGCAGCCGUCUAAGGCCCCUACGGGUCGCCGGUGUUAUUCCAAAGGAAGCAAGAUGGAUCAUUGGGUUCUGUAUAGAUUAUCGGCUUUGAAUAAGGUACUAUCAAAAAUAAGUACCCUAUUCCAAAGCCUUUGAUCUAUUUGACAAGCUGUCGAGGGCAAGUUUGUACACCAAAAUCGACUUGUCCGGAUAUUGGCAAGUCAGAAUUGCGCCGGGUGAUGAAGCUAAGACCACUUGUGUGACGAGGUAUGGAUCAUUUGAGUUCUUGGUGAUGCGUUUGGUCUUACUAAUGCCCCUGCUACAUUCUGCAAUCUCAUGAAUGACGUGCUUUAUGAGUUUUUGGAUCGAUUUGUGGUGGUAUAUCUUGAUGAUAUUGUGAUAUAUUCGGAGUCAUUGAAUGACAUUUGUUGCAUAUGCGGGCUGUAUUCUUGAAAAUUGCGGAGAAUAAGUUGUAUGCAAAGAAGGAGAAAUGUGAGUUUUGCAGGAACUCAAUUACUUUCCUUGGUCAUAUCAUCGGCCAAGGGCAGAUCAAGAUGGAUCGAAAGAAGGUGCAGGCUGUGCUGGAUUGGCCCGUGCCGACUAAAGUUGCUGAGAUGAGAUCCUUCCUUGGCUUGGCGAACUAUUAUAGGCGGUUCGAAUUGAGGGGUACUCAAAAAUUGCCAACCUUAACGGAUUCUCAAGAAGGAUGAUGGAAGUGGACCGAGGCAUGCAAAGUGCGUUCGAUGAGUUGAAGCACAAGUUUCCCGGACCCGUCUAAGGCUGCCCAUAUUUGAGAGCCUUUUGAAGUACAGGUUGAUGCUCGGACCGUGCCAUUGGGGGGUCUGUUCAGAAUAAGCACCCCUUGCUAUGAAAGCGGAACUGAAGGAUUGUGAGUAUCGUUAUAGUACUCACGAGAAGGAGAUGACGCCGUGAUCCAUUGUUUGGAGGUGUGGAAACAUUAUCUGUUGGGUACCAAGUUCACAGUGGUGACGGACAAUGUUGCCAACACUUAUUUCAAAACCCAGAAAAAGCUCUCACCAAAGCAAGCACGUUGGCAAGAGUACUUGGGGGAGUUUGAUUUCGAUUGGGUGCAUCGUUCGGAAAGCACAAUGAUGUUGCUGAUGCAUUGAGCCGGAAGACGUGGAGGAAUACGUGGCAGCCUGACUCUUGUGGAGUCCGAUUCAUUGGGAGAAUCGGGAUUCUUCCAAUCUGACCCCCUUUAUCAAAAACUUGUUUUGCAGGUGAAUGAUGGGGAAGUGGAAAUAUUGGCUAACUGAUGGUGUAUUAUUUGCUCGUGGAGGCCGGGCUUAUGUGCCAACGGGAGCGUUGAGACGUGAGUGUUAAGGGAGACCCAGACCCACAUGGGCGGUCAUCCCGGCAUUGAGCGAUGUAUGCCUUGCUGUCCCGACGAUAUAUUGGCCAAAAUGGAGGAUGACGUUGAGGCGUAUGUUAAAACUUGCUUGUGUGCCAACAAGACAAGCUGGAAAGAAGAAGGAGGCGGGUUGUUGCAGCCCCUACCUAUUCCAGAACGGCCGUUCCAAUCUAUAUCGAUGGACUUCAUUUCGGGCUUCCCGAAAGUCGAUGGGAUGGCUUCUAUAUUUGUGGUGGUGGACAGAUUUUCUAAGUAUGGGAUUUUUAUUGCUUGCCCAAAGGCUUGUCCCGCUGAGGUAGCUGCUGACUUGUUCGUGAGGAAUGUGAUCAAAUACUUUGGUAUUCCCGAAGACAUUAUUAGUGAUCGGGAUACUCGGUUCACGGGGCGAUUCUGGACCAGUUUGUUCAACAUGUUGGGGACGGAUCUUAAGUUCUCUACAGCCAAUCAUCCUCAGACCGAUGGGCAGACGGAGAGGAUGAACCAACUGUUGGAAGAUUAUUUGAGACACUAUGUAUCAGCGAGUCAGAAGGAUUGGGUCGGUUUGCUGGAUGUAGCUCAGUUUAGCUACAAUCUACAUCGUUCUUCGGCUACGGGGAAGAGUCCGUUCGAGAUAGUGCAUGGGGUAUAGCCGUUAGCCCCACACGAGAUUGCAGUGCAACGGAGUGGGGGAAACUGUCCAGCCACUUACAGAUUUGCUCGUGAGAAGCAAGAGUUGAUGGAUGAGGCAAGAGACAGCCUUGCCAAAGCCCAACGCCGCAUGAAGAAGUAUGCAGAUCGUCAUCGGCGUGAUGUGGAAUUUGAUGUGGGCGAUCAAGUGAUGUUGAAGCUGACACCUCAAAUUUGGAAGAAGAUUUCUUCCAAGUCCGUGCAUCGUGGGUUGAUUCCAAAGUAUGAUGGGCCAUUUAAAAUCGUGAAACGGGUUGGGAGAGUUGCUUAUCGAUUGGAGUUGCCGGAUCGGUUGAAGAUACACCCAACAUUUCACGUGUCAUUCUUGAAGAAGUUCAACGCUGAUUUACUUGAUGCUUCAAGGAAACAGGCGCGGCGUGCGCCACCCGUGAUUAGGCAGCAGUAUUCCAAGUCUGUGGAGAGAGUCCUUGAUCACCGUACCAUGGGGCAAAGCAAGAAAAAUCGACGGACUGAUUACUUGGUGCAAUGGGGCGGAGAAUCAGAGGCUGAUGCAACUUGGGAAAAGGCUGUUGGCUUGUGGCAGUUUGAGAAAGAAAUUGCUGAAUAUUGGAGGUCUAAAGGAGGAGAUCACCCUACAACGACGAGGGCGUCGUCGAGCUUCGGUGGGGGUGGUUUGUUAGCCCCUUGAAGGUUGGCGCCGAGACGUGUCGAGUCAGAGGCACGCCUCGGCAUAUUGGUGUCGAGUUGCCCCGCCCUAGGCAACUUAGCUGGUUCGAUGGUGGGCAUCGGAGGUGUUGUGCGUCGGGCACGCACACUGCCGAGUGGGCGCGCCGGGUGAUGCCGGGCGCCGCACGUCGGGUGCGCGGGGCGCCGAGCGCAAGUGUCGGGCGAGCGAGCAUGUCGGGCGAGCGCGAGUGUCGGGCGAGCGCGCAUGUUGGGCGAGCGAGGCAUGUCGGGCGAGCACGGGCGAUGGGUGAUGCCAGCCCGAGUACCCGAUGGAGCAAGUACGCGCGGGGCGACGGG
rnacentral:lncRNA from 1 species